UUCUGAUUGGAUUUGCUUGGUCGGUCUCAUCAAAACCAGUAGACUCGUGCCUCUUUACAGAAUCUGAGCAUUGGUUAAUCACAUUGGACAGGCUACACCAAUCGUUAUCCAAUGUUGACCAGAGCAAUUGUGAUUCGCUCCAAUGUAGUUUUCCCUUCCAAUCGUUUCUUCAGCCUACUCAGGGGUCGACGUACAGACAAACUCUCAACUUCGUCACUAAUACAACUGAAGUCUUCAGUCCCUGGUUCGACCAAACUAGUACCAUUUCAGACCAAAUAGAAAGCGCCCUCGAAUCACUGA